rnacentral:rRNA from 1 species
GGGCCCGCACAAGCGGUGGAGUAUGUGGUUUAAUUCGAUGAUACCCGUAGAACCUUACCUGGACUUGACAUAUAGGGAAAAACUAAAGAAAUUUAGUGUGCGUAAGCGCCCUAUACAGGUGGUGCAUGGCUGUCGUCAGCUCGUGUCGUGAGAUGUUGGUUAAGUCCCGCAACGAGCGCAACCCACGUCUUUAGUUGCCAGCAUUUAGUUGGGCACUCUAGAGAGACCGCCGGUGAUAAACCGGAGGAAGGUGUGGAUGACGUCAAGUCAUCAUGCCCCUUACAUCCUGGGCUACACACGUACUACAAUGCUACGGACAAAGGGCAGCAAGUUCGCGAGGACAAGCAAA